rnacentral:rRNA from 1 species
GAAUUCGCCCUUGGGGAAUUUUCCGCAAUGGGCGAAAGCCUGACGGAGCAACGCCGCGUGAGGGAGGAAGGUCUUUGGAUUGUAAACCUCUUUUCUCAAGGAAGAAGUUCUGACGGUACUUGAGGAAUCAGCCUCGGCUAACUCCGUGCCAGCAGCCGCGGUAAUACGGGGGAGGCAAGCGUUAUCCGGAAUUAUUGGGCGUAAAGCGUCCGCAGGUGGUCAGCCAAGUCUGCUGUCAAAUCAGGUUGCUUAACGACCUAAAGGCGGUGGAAACUGGCAGACUAGAGAGCAGUAGGGGUAGCAGGAAUUCCCAGUGUAGCGGUGAAAUGCGUAGAGAUUGGGAAGAACAUCGGUGGCGAAAGCGUGCUACUGGGCUGUAUCUGACACUCAGGGACGAAAGCUAGGGGAGCGAAAGGGAUUAGAUACCCCUGUAGUCCUAGCCGUAAACGAUGGAUACUAGGCGUGGCUUGUAUCGACCCGAGCCGUGCCGAAGCUAACGCGUUAAGUAUCCCGCCUGGGGAGUACGCACGCAAGUGUGAAACUCAAAGGAAUUGACGGGGGCCCGCACAAGCGGUGGAGUAUGUGGUUUAAUUCGAUGCAACGCGAAGAACCUUACCAAGACUUGACAUGUCGCGAACCCUGGUGAAAGCUGGGGGUGCCUUCGGGAGCGCGAA